rnacentral:misc_RNA from 1 species
AAAAUUCAAAAAACAGCCUCGCGCUGGAAAUCAUCUUUUGUCCGAACCCCGGUUCGGGCUAGGAUGAAGCGCAUGUUGGCCCACAUUUUGUGCACCGUUCCGUCUUUGGUGGUGGGGUGAGCGACCUUUUCUUGGCCCUCGCCUGUCAGCUCGGACCUGCAAGGGGUCGGAGCCGUGGACAAGCCACCGCCCUUUUGCUUCAAACCUUUGAUGUGAUUUCUUUUCUGUCUGACACUUUACUUGUAUGAAUGUACAAAA